rnacentral:rRNA from 1 species
UACAGAGGGGGCAAGCGUUGUUCGGAUUUACUGGGCGUAAAGCGCACGUAGGCGGAUUGUUAAGUCGGGGGUGAAAUCCUGGAGCUCAACUCCAGAAUUGCCUUCGAUACUGGCUUUCUAGAGGCUGGAAGAGGUUAGUGGAAUUCCCAGUGUAGAGGUGAAAUUCGUAGAUAUUGGGAAGAACACCAGUGGCGAAGGCGGCUAACUGGUCCAGAUCUGACGCUGAGGUGCGAAAAGCGUGGG